rnacentral:lncRNA from 1 species
UAAUGUUCAUGCUAAUCCAAUUUCAGAGAUAAUUGUCAAUAGAUACAUGUUUGGAAGGUUUCGAUGGUUGGGUUCAGUGGCCUUGGGAAUGCCAUUGAUUGCGCAGGAUGAUAGUAGUAAAUCCAGGAUAGCAAGUGUCGGUAGUGAUGGGAAACACCAGUGGUCCAGGACAGGUAGGAGGAGAGCUUCGGGUGGGUCGNUGGGGUAGGUGACUGUAGAAGACUUCGAGGACGAUGUCCAGUUUAAUUGGGGGAGAAUUUUAACACCUGGAAACCAGAAGGCUAAUUAAGGAAAUAUAUUAUGCAAAUUGGAGGUCUACUCGUCGAGCCCAAGGGGGCAAGUCGACGAGUAGAAAUAAGUUUUUAGGAUGCGGGUUGAGAAACCUACUCGACGACUUGGGGAGGACCAAAUCGACGAGUUGGCAUGGGUUUGGGAAACCCUAGAUUCGUGGUUUUGCACCCUAUUUAGGUAUCUUAAUCCCUACCUUAUGGCCUCAUUUCCGGCCUCCAGUGUCCAAACCCUAGAUCUCGAAACCCUAAUGCUUGUAAGCCAUUUUUUAGUAAACCUUGUGUGAUUUGAAGCUUGUGAAGAAUAGGAGAAGCUUGGAGUUUCAGAAGGAAGUUAGUAGGUCCAGAAACCACAUCUAAUCCUCUCCAUUUCCUGGCAGGCAAGUCUCAACCACGCUUAAUAGAUUGAUAGAUUUCUUUAAUUUCACUUGAUGAGGGUUUUGGUCCUAGAAGCGUAACCCUUGGGAAAUGGACGUCCCAAGUGAUUUACCUUUCAGAUCUGGGAUCUACAUGGGAUUUCAUGGCAUAGAGGUGCAAACUUUAUGACCAUGGAAUUGUUGGAUUAGUGUCUAAGUCCAUAACUAUAUUUCGUAGGUACAUGACCCGACCCGACAUGGUCCAUUUGGGUUGCACUUCACCGACACAAUUUAUAUGGAUAGUCUUUUGAGAAUAGUAUAUUUAUGAUUUAUAUUAAUAUAUUAUAAGUUCUAAUAUAUUAAUAUAUAAUCAGAUUAUUUAAUUAGUAUUGAUCAAGACUUAAUUAAGUGAUCAAAAUGAACUAAUUAAAUAUGGACUCUUAUAUAUAUGGAAUGGCCCAAGUUCAUUUAGGUUGAGCUAAGCUUUCAUGGAUAGUCCAUUAAGUGUUUAACCCAAGGAUCAUAUGAAAUCAAAGGUCAUGGGUUUAACCCUAGUCUCCAUACUAUAUAAAGAUGUCAUUGGUUGGUGAAAUUGGCACUAGUGUAGUACACUAAGAAGGGCUAGCCAACUUCACUAGAGAGAACCAAGUAUCCAUAUUCUCUAAAUUCUUCCAAGGUGUUUUGGUGAUUUAUGAUUCCAUUUGAGGCUUCCACACUAUUGGGGCUAAGCUCUUAAAGCUUGAAGACAUCAAGCUACACCAAAACGCAUGUCAUCUCACUAGUCUUUGUAGUAUAGUUGCCUCAUAGUAUGCUAGUUAGGAUUAAAGCCUUGGAAAGUUCUUAUUUGCAUGUGUAAUAGAGAAAACAUAGAUCCAAGGUUUAUAGGGUUGCAUGUACACCAUAGGAGUGUUAGAAUGCUCAAAACCCAACAGUGGUAUCAGAUCCUAGGCUUUUUUUCUUGUUAUACUUGCAAUAUAAGUUGGAAAAUCGAGUUUUGUUGUUGUCUGCCCAGAAGACUUGCCGAGUCCAUGUAUGGACUCGCUGAGUCCUAGGCAAAAUGCAUCCAACUCGCCGAGUAGGUUCGUGCACUCGACAAGUUGGACCCCCAGACAGCAUAAAUUCGACUUUUUUGGCUGGAAUUGGACUAGGAACAUUACCCUAAGAUGUUUUUAGACUUAUAAACUUGUUUUUGAUGUGGUAAUGUUCAUGCUAAACCAAUUUCAAAGAUAAUUGUCAAUAAAUUCAUGUUUGGAAGGUUUCGAUGGUUGGGUUCAGUGGCCUUGGGAUGGCCAUUGAUUAAGCAGGAUGAUAGUAGUAAAUCUAGGAUAGCAAGUGUCGGUAGUGAUGGGAAACACCAGUGGUCUAGGACAGGUAGGAGGAGAGCUUCGAGUGUGUCGUGUGAGAUGUUUGUGGGGUAGGUGAUUGUAGCAGACUUCGAGGACGAUGUCCAGUUUAAUUGGGGGAGAAUUUUAACACCCGGAAACCAGAAGGCUAAUUAAGGAAAUAUAUUAUGCAAAUUGGAGGUCUACUCGUCGAGCCCAAGGGGGGCAACUCGACGAGUAGAAAUAAGUUUUUAGGAUGCGGGUUGAGAAACCUACUCGACGAGUCUGGGAGGACCAAAUCGACGAGUUGGCAUGGGUUUGG